AGAGUUUGAUCUGCUCAGACGAUCGCUGCGGCCGUGCUAUACAUGCAGUAGAACGCUGAAAUAAGAGCUGCUCUAUGAUGAGUGCGAACGGGUGAGUACACGUGGGGAACUACGUUCUAGCGGGGGAUAACACAUAGAAAUGUGUGCUAAUACCGCAUAAUAGUAUUUGAUGCAUAUCAGAUACUUGAAAGGCGCAAUUGCGUCACUAGAAGAUGGCCCCGCGGUGCAUUAGCUAGUUGGUGAGGUAACGGCUCACCAAGGCAAUGAUGCAUAGCCGACCUGAGAGGGUGAUCGGCCACACUGGGACUGAGACACGGCCCAGACUCCUACGGGAGGCAGCAGUAGGGAAUCUUCGGCAAUGGACGCAAGUCUGACCGAGCAACGCCGCGUGAGUGAAGAAGGUUUUCGGAUCGUAAAACUCUGUUGUAAGAGAAGAACGUUGAUGAGAGUGGAAAGUUCAUCAAGUGACGGUAUCUUACCAGAAAGCCACGGCUAACUACGUGCCAGCAGCCGCGGUAAUACGUAGGUGGCAAGCGUUGUCCGGAUUUAUUGGGCGUAAAGCGAGCGCAGGCGGUUGAUUAAGUCUGAUGUGAAAGCCCCCGGCUCAACCGGGGAGGGUCAUUGGAAACUGGUCAACUUGAGUGCAGAAGAGGAGAGUGGAAUUCCAUGUGUAGCGGUGAAAUGCGUAGAUAUAUGGAGGAACACCAGUGGCGAAGGCGGCUCUCUGGUCUGUAACUGACGCUGAGGCUCGAAAGCGUGGGGAGCGAACAGGAUUAGAUACCCUGGUAGUCCACGCCGUAAACGAUGAGUGCUAAGUGUUGGAGGGUUUCCGCCCUUCAGUGCUGCAGCUAACGCAUUAAGCACUCCGCCUGGGGAGUACGACCGCAAGGUUGAAACUCAAAGGAAUUGACGG
rnacentral:rRNA from 1 species